GAGCAUAUAGCUCAACGGUAGAGCAUAUGCUUAGCAUGCAUGAGGUCCUGGGUUCAAUCCCGAGUACCUCCA
rnacentral:tRNA from 1 species